AAGUUUCAAUCCCCGCCCCCUUCUCGCGGAAGAACUAUGGGUGCUAACCUCUCUCUCAGGCCUGCUGUCAAUCGGCUCCGCAUCCUCUAGUUCUGCACAUCCCCGGCCAUCAGAGCACGAACUUCUGGUCGGUCCGCCUGCCGUUCUUUCACCUAUAGAGCCCACCCUCUAAAGGUGUCCAAGCUGCUCCAAAGAACAAUUGAUUAACCCAACGGCUGUCUUUGGCCCUCAGAACUGUCACACCUGGCUCCGCCUCUUCCCGGACAUCAUCUGUUGCACCAGAGACUGGCGGGUCUGGAAAGAAGCUCUGAGCCCAUCCGCGUUUCUCUGUUGGACCCUGUCAGGUCUCUUGUUCCGUGUCCAAUGUCAGUCGGGUAGGGAGGCAGUGGGGCAGUCUUGGUUCUCAUCCCACCCCGGAGUCUCUGCGCAGCCACAAUUCAGGAAAACAAUCUGGAGGCGGGUUCAAAACACUAAGAUUGAUUGAACGCGCUGAUGGUUUGGUUUUCUCCUAUAGCGCUUUGGUAGUGGCUUUUAUCCAGACCGCCCCCCCCCCACCCCCCCGGAAUGAACCCUGGUAUAGAAAUGUUACCCGUAUGUGUGCAUAUGAUUGUUUUUAAUAUAUUUCAAUUUGAUGAAUCAGCCUUUUUCAAGGUCAGAUUCCAGACCGACCCUUCUGGCGCCCACCCCCCGCUUUUUUUUUUUUUUUUUUUUUUCCAAAAUGAAAGCUUUCCCAAAGAGGCCACGUUUGUAGGGCUAGUGGAAUUUUUUGGAAAAGGGAGAAAGCGGAUUCUGGAUGAGGACAAUGGUGGCCCAGAAGUCGCUAUGACUUAAGAGUCUUGGCAGAGGCAGAGGCUGGGGAAAGCGAGCAGUGUUUUUCAUUUAGGUGGCAUCUGUACGAAUCCUAGUUUGGAAAGGUGCGAAGGUUAUGUGCCUUUGUUUUUAAUAUUUUGGAUUUUUAAUUUUCUGUUUCUUUUUUUCACUUAGUUUUUAUCUUCGAAGUUUAAUUUUGCUGUUUUUUUAUUUCAUAUUCUUAAAAAUUGUAUAAUUAAAUUUUAUUGCUACUGGCUUUUAAUUAAUUCAUUAAUUAAUUUUGAGACGGAGUCUCGCUCUGUUGCCCAGGCUGGAGUGCAGUGGCGCGAUCUCAGCUCACCACAACCUCCGCCUCCCGGGUUCAAGCAAUUCUCCUGCCUCGGCCUCCCGAGUAGCUGGGACUACAGGCACGCGCCACCAUGCCUGGCUGAUUUUUGUAUUUUUAGUAGAGACUGGGUUUCACUAUGUUGGCCAGGCUUGUCUCGGACUCCUUACCUCAUGAUCCACCCGCCUCGGCCUCCCAAAGUGCUGGGAUUACAGGCGUGAGCCACCGCGCCUGGCCUUACUUAUUUUUAAAGCAAAUUCUUCUAGAUCCUGAGUUUCUGGCUUUUUAAAUUAAAAUUACAAGAAAAUGUAUUGAUUCCUCUGGUGUUAACAGGUCUGGAGACAUACAUUUAUGAUGCUUUGGAGCUAUUGAUAAUAUAUAGAGUACUUUAUUCAUUAAUUAUUUCAUUCUAAAAACCCUGCUUUAUAUAUCCCCAGAAUACUAAGGCCUGGUGGGGAAUAUCUUAUAAAUAAUUAAUGGUUAUUACUAAUUAUUAAUAAUAACCGUCAAUGAAAGUAAGAUAGAAACUGUUAAGAGAUUCAGUUAAGUACUGUGUAAUUUUGUGUUGAUUAUAUCUGCCAGUAAUAUUCAUCAUGCAUUGCAUAGAAGUGGGAUUGUCUUUCUUUUUCUCCUAGCUGGUUUGUGAGAAAAUUGUGAGCAAUUUUGCACAGGGAGACUUCGAUGUCUGACUAACAUUUAUUGACUGCUUGUAUGUACUAGGAAUAAUUCUAAAUGCUGAUCAUGUGUUA
ensembl:lncRNA novel transcript